AUGCUCACUUUGGAAGCACCUAUACUAAAAUUGAAAUAAUACUGAGAUUAGCAUGGCCCCUGUGCAAGAAGGACAUGCAAAUUCAUGAAACAUUCCAUAUUUUU
rnacentral:snRNA from 1 species